AGAAUAAGCCGAAUCCAGCCCAGGAGCGGGGGAACCAGAUUUUUUGGGGCGAACGUCAGACUCAUGGCAGCAUGAUACUGAAGCGGGUGGUCUUCUCUACCCGAGCCCGGCAGCUAACCUCGUAGGCGAAUAGAGAGAGGA
rnacentral:sRNA from 1 species